rnacentral:lncRNA from 1 species
GCGCCCAGCCAAGAAAUAAACUUCUAUCUUGCUUAAGCCACUAAAAUUUUGAGUUUUCUCUCGCACACAGUCUGUCUUGAUUUUCUUUGCCACAGCGAGAGUGGCUGGGGUUUUUGUCCAAUUGGGUGAUGAAAGAAGGCCUUAGAAGGCCUUUUGCAGGGGUAAUAUUUGACCUGAGACUUGCCUGGUGAGAAGGAGCCAGCCAUGGGGAGAUCAGGGAGGAGCAUCCCGACAGGAUGGCACUCGUGCUUUCGAGGAACAGAGGAGGUCACUCUGACUGCUGUGUGGCAACCGCAUUGUAGGGGGCCUAAGUGAAGCCAGGAGGCCAGAGCCCUGGUCAGGUUUAAGGACCUGAGUGAGGGUCCUUGUCCUUGGGAACAUGAUCUGUGGAGGAGACACACAGGACCAUGGACCAUCUCAGUAGGGAGCAGAGAGGCAAUGACACAGGUCAAAGCUUUGGUCCAGCAAGUUUGGAAAGGAAAGGCAUCUCAGGACAAGGGAACAGUGCAUGGAAAGAUCCAGAAGCCAAGAGAACAGA